rnacentral:rRNA from 1 species
AUACGUAGGAUCCGAGCGUUGUCCGGAUUUACUGGGCGUAAAGGGCGAGUAGGCGGCCUGUUAAGUCUCAUGUGAAAUCUCCCGGCUCAACUGGGAGGGGUCAUGGGAAACUGGCAAGCUUGAGAGCAGUAGAGGGAAGCGGAAUUCCCGGAGUAGUGGUGAAAUGCGUAGAUACCGGGAGAAACACCAGUGGCGAAGGCGGCUUCCUGGACUGUUUCUGACGCUGAGGAGCGAAAGCGUGGGGAGCAAACCGGAUUAGAAACCCGAGUAGUCC